GAAUAUUGGUCAAUGGACGCAAGUCUGAACCAGCCAUGCCGCGUGCAGGAUGACUGCCCUAUGGGUUGUAAACUGCUUUUGUACGGGAAAAAACCCUUGAUCGUGAUCGAGGCUGAUUGUACCGUAAGAAUAAGGAUCGGCUAACUCCGUGCCAGCAGCCGCGGUAAUACGGAGGAUCCAAGCGUUAUCCGGAUUUAUUGGGUUUAAAGGGUGCGUAGGCGGAAUAGUAAGUCAGUGGUGAAAGCCUGCAGCUUAACUGUAGAAUUGCCAUUGAUACUGCUAAUCUUGAGUACAUAUGAAGUGGGCGGAAUGUGUCAUGUAGCGGUAAAAUGCUUAGAUAUGACACAGAACACCGAUUGCGAAGGCAGCUCACUAAACUGUAACUGACGCUGAGGCACGAAAGCAUGGGGAGCAAAC
rnacentral:rRNA from 1 species